UUUUUUUUUUUUUUUACAGAAACCAAAGAAAAGCAAAUAUUAAUAGUUGGAAACUUUAUUUCUGAGUUCAGAGAACAGCCAGUUGAGAAGAUUUCUAGAUUUUCUUUAAAAAGAUUUAUUUAUUUUGAGGAAGAAAGUGAGCACCAGAGCAGAGCAGAGGGCAGAGGGAGAGGGAGAGGGAGAGGGAGAGAAAUCCUCAUGCAGACUCCAUGAUGAGUGCAGAGCCUACUGGGGCAUGAUUCCAGGACCCUAAGAUCACGACCUGAGUGGAAACUAAGAGUCUGAGACUUAACUGACUGAGCCACCCAGGCGCCCCAGAAAGAUUUCUAGAUUUAAGCAAGAAGUUUCUCUAUAUGGUACAAUGAGGAUGGCAGUUGUAAUUUGAGAAAUUUCCUGUUUGUAGUUUGAAUGUCUCUUGUCGCACUGAGUGUACCAGCGAAUUUUCUGAGUGGCCUGCACAGGUAGACAUGAAGGUUGUUUUUAUCUAUGAUCUGUUGUGGUGAUAAACUUAAGAAAUUAAAUUUAUAUCAGCUUUCACUUACAGGACUUUGGGAAAAGGACAGUUUUCAUUCUUUGUGAUUUCAAGUCAGAAGGUUGGGAGAAAAAUGGAAUAUUAGUUUGGAGAGUUGUGGCUAUAUACUGGAGGAAACUAGAAAAGUUCAGGAUUCAGACCAGUUUAUAGCUAGAUAACACAACCUCAAAGACAAUGAAUAGGGUUAGAAUCUUAAUUAUAAGGGUAUUUUACAGUUUUUCACUGAAAUGUAAUUUUCUCUCACCAUAUUUAUUGAAUAUAAUUACAGUAAGACUAUUUUGUUUGUAAAAUAAGUUUAGUCUCAUUAAACUUGGCCUAAUUAUUUAUAUAAGUGCACCAAGAAUAGAAUUUAUCACAUAAAGUCCAUUUUGUUGGAACUUUUAAUAGGGAAUCUUAGAUUAAACCUUAAAAGCCAUUUGAGGCUAAAAAAUCAAGCCAAGAAUGCACCAUCAGACUUUGUCUAUAGCAUCCAUAGAUUUGGGUGAAUUCCUCUCUUUUCAAGGCACCCAAUGGAUCUUAAGUUUCUUGGGCCUACUGGAAAGUAAACUUCCCUACUCACUGUAGGGAUAGGGAUCCUGUAAGCAAUGAUUGGGCUGGUAUUUCAAGAGGCUUUAUAAGCAUUGACUCCAUAGUCAACCAUAGUUCCUUAAAUGCAUCUGGUUACAUUAUUUUUAAGAUUUUAUUUAUUUAUUUAUUUGAGAGAGAGUGAGACAACAGGGAGAGGAGUAGAAGAGGAAAGAAUCUCAAGCAGAUUCCACAUUGAGUGUGAAGCCCAAUUCAGGGCUCCAUUCCAUGACCCCAAGACCAUGACCCAAGCCAAAAACAAGAGCUGGAUGCCCAACCCAUGGAGCUACCCAGGCAUCCCUCCAUCUGGUCACAUUUAAGUCUAUGUACCUUGUUGUCAAGCAUGACAUUAUAAUCAAAGCCUUGAUAAUAUAACAAAGUUUCCAAUUGUUGCAAAGAAAACAGAUUGUUUUAAAAAAGAUUUUAUUUAUUUAUUUGAGAGAGAGAGGGAGGGAGAGAGUGGGAGAGCACAAGCAUUGGAGAGGGAGAAGCAGGCUGCCCAUCCAGCAGGGAGCCCGAUGCAGGGCUCGAUCCUGGGACCCUGGGAUCAUGACCUGGGUCAACAGCAGUUUCCAAAUUCUUGAGGGAUCAGAUAGGCAGAAAAAGAUAAAUAUUUUAAUUUUUGUUUACCAAGGGAUAGUCUAUCAAAUUGAGAGAAGUUAUAGAUAGCUUAAGAAAAAGAGAAAAUAGGUUUUCUUUUUUUACUUUAAAAAGAUUGUAUUUAUUUAUUUAUUUAUUUAGAACAUGUAUGAGCAGGGGAGGGGCAGAGAGAGAGAGAGAGAGAGAGACAGAGAGAGAGACAGAGAGAAUUCCAAGCAAACUCCAUGCUGAGCAUGGAGCCUGAUGUGGGCUCAAUUCCAGGAGCCUGAGAUCAUGACCUGAGCAGAAGGCAGUUGCUCAACCAAGUGAUUGACCUAGGAACCACUCUUUUAUGAGAGAGAGAGAGUGGUGUGUGAGCAAGGGAAGGGGCAGAGGAGGAAGGCGAAAGAAAAUAUUAAGCAGGCUCCAGGCUCAGCACAGAGCCCAACAUGGGGCUUUAACUCAUGACCCUGAGAUCAUGACCUGAGCUGAAAUUGAGAGUCGGACACUCUACUGACUGAUCCACCCAGGUGCUCCAGAAUUCUAGAAAUUCUUAUCCAGUUUAGUGUUAUGAUCUUAGAGUUAUCAGAAAUCUGUGUUCUAGAGUACUUGUCAGGGUCCUUUCCAUGGAUCUCUUUAAAAAUGAAGUAUUUUUGCCUGCAGUUGAUUGUAAAUGUUCUCAGGGAACAAUGAAGAGUAAGACAAAAAUGAUCUAUGAAUGACAAAAGACUUAAAAAUAGCCGUGGUUACAGAUCUGGUGAGAGUUCACUAUUAAAAAAGUGAUACAAUUAACAAGAACAUUUGGUUAUUUCUGUAGACAUGCAAUGUUUUCAAAUAAUAAUUGGAAUUUCAGCUGAUUAUACAGGCAGUAAGGAUACUGACAGAUUUCUAGGAAUUCUGUACAAUUUUUGAAAUAUUGGUAACAUUUACUCAUACAAAUAUGACUUAAAGGAAGUUAAUUAUCAUU
rnacentral:lncRNA from 1 species